CAGCGGAAAAGCGUUUAAUUUUUUUUUUUUUUUGAAAACCUGACCCCAGGGUAUGCCAGAUCCGCCACAAAUACAGGGAAUCCACUGUUCACACGGACAGAGUCUCCCCUGUAUUUGCACGGCGUCACACAAGUACAAAAGUACAAACAUUAUACAACCACAACUAAAUGAAUAUACAGAUAGCUAUACAUUCAUACAUUCACCAUUCACACCGUAGUUUUACAUUNGAAGCCAACUCUACUCCGUGGCUUUUCCGGAAAACCGGAGUUACUAUUCAGUUAAGUGAAAACUAAAAAUCGCGUAUCUUCUCCAUUUUAGCUCAUUUUCGCCCGAAACUUGACGAGUGCUUAUGUAAUUAAAUUACACACAUAAACAUCAUCAACAGAAAGUUUAGUUGCACUGUCAAAAAUCUCAGUCCUUACA
rnacentral:lncRNA from 1 species